GGUCUAGUGGUGUAGCGGUUAUCACGCCUGCUUUACACGCAAGAGGUCGCGGGUCCAAUUCCGGUCGAGAUCA
rnacentral:tRNA from 1 species